rnacentral:rRNA from 1 species
GGGUGUAAUCAUAUCAAUGUUAUUUCACUAUAUCCAUUCAAAAAUCCGUAGUUAAGAAUUCUUGGGAUAGAGCGAUAUUGGAAUGGGUGUCCUUUGAGAAAUUCCAAGUGUCACACUCU